rnacentral:rRNA from 1 species
CAGAGGGUACGAACGUUGCUCGGAAUUACUGGGCGUAAAGCGCGUGUAGGCGGGUCGGCAAGUCAGGCGUGAAAUCCCCAGGCUCAACCUGGGAACUGCGCUUGAAACUGCCGGUCUUGAGUAUCGGAGAGGGUGGCGGAAUUCCUGGUGUAGAGGUGAAAUUCGUAGAUAUCAGGAGGAACACCGGUGGCGAAGGCGGCCACCUGGACGAUUACUGACGCUGAGACGCGAAAGCGUGGGGAGCAAACAGGAUUAGAUACCCUGGUAGCCCACGCCGUAAACGAUGGGUGCUAGGUGUCUCGGGUAUUGACCCCUGAGGUGCCGUAGCUAACGCGUUAAGCACCCCGCCUGGGAAGUACGGCCGCAAGGCUA